rnacentral:rRNA from 1 species
GAUGAACGCUGACAGAAUGCUUAACACAUGCAAGUCUUUGGCGAAUCUGUGCUUGCACAGGCUAGCCAAGGCGGACGGGUGAGUAACGCGUAAAGAACUUGCCCUGCAGACAGGGAUAACAGACGGAAACGACUGAUAACACCAGAAACAGUUGCCGGCACGCAUGUGCCUGGCAAUGAAAAGAGAUGCUGCAGGAGAGCUUUGCGUCCUAUUAUCUUGUUGGUGAGGUGACGGCGCACCAAGGCGAUGAUAGGUAGCCGGCCUGAGAGGGUGAACGGCCACAAGGGGACUGAGAUGCGGCCCUUACUCCUACGGGAGGCAGCAGUGGGUAAUAGUGUACGAUGGGGGCAACCCUGAUCCAGCAAUUCUGUGUGCACGAAGAAGGUUUUCGGAUUGUAAAGUGCUUUCAGCAGGGAAGAAGAAAGUGACGGUACCUGCAGAAGAAGCGACGGCUAACUACGUG